UUAAGUUCAGCGGGUAGUCCUACCUGAUUUGAGCUCAGAGUUUCAAUGUGUUGUCCCGUGAAGGACGGUUAGAAGCGCGUACUUUACAUACCAGUCGACGGCGGCGCAGAUAAUUAUCACGCUGAAGCGACCGGUAACGUCCGCACUAAUGCAUUUCAGAGGAGUCGACUCGCGAGAGCCGACACGACCUCCAAGUCCAA
rnacentral:misc_RNA from 1 species